UAGGGAAUCUUCGGCAAUGGACGAAAGUCUGACCGAGCAACGCCGCGUGAGUGAAGAAGGUUUUCGGAUCGUAAAACUCUGUUGUUAGAGAAGAACAAGGACGUUAGUAACUGAACGUCCCCUGACGGUAUCUAACCAGAAAGCCACGGCUAACUACGUGCCAGCAGCCGCGGUAAUACGUAGGUGGCCAGCGUUGUCCGGAUUUAUUGGGCGUAAAGCGAGCGCAGGCGGUUUCUUAAGUCUGAUGUGAAAGCCCCCGGCUCAACCGGGGAGGGUCAUUGGAAACUGGGAGACUUGAGUGCAGAAGAGGAGAGUGGAAUUCCAUGUGUAGCGGUGAAAUGCGUAGAUAUAUGGAGAAACACCAGUGGCGAAGGCGGCUCUCUGGUCGAUAACUGAAGCUGAGGCUCGAAAGCGUGGGGGGCAAACAGG
rnacentral:rRNA from 1 species